CAACCCUCAAGCACUGCUUGGUGUUGGGGCACUGCUUCUGACGAAGCAGGCCCUGAAAUCUAGUGGCGAGCUCGCCAGGACCCCGAGCGCAGUAGUUAAACCCUCGCUCUGGAAGGCCCUGGCGGUGCCCUGCCGUUAAACCCCCAACUUCUGAAA
rnacentral:misc_RNA from 1 species